GACGAACGNGGGNGNNNNNCUUAACACAUGCAAGUCGAACGCUGAAGCUCAGCUUUUGUUGGGUGGAUGAGUGGCGAACGGGUGAGUAACACGUGAGUAACCUGCCCCCUUCUUUGGGAUAACGCCCGGAAACGGGUGCUAAUACUGGAUAUUCACUGGUCUUCGCAUGGGGGUUGGUGGAAAGGGUUUUUCUGGUGGGGGAUGGGCUCGCGGCCUAUCAGCUUGUUGGUGGGGUGAUGGCCUACCAAGGCUUUGACGGGUAGCCGGCCUGAGAGGGUGACCGGUCACAUUGGGACUGAGAUACGGCCCAGACUCCUACGGGAGGCAGCAGUGGGGAAUAUUGCACAAUGGGCGCAAGCCUGAUGCAGCGACGCCGCGUGAGGGAUGGAGGCCUUCGGGUUGUGAACCUCUUUCGCUCAUGGUCAAGCCGCAACAAUGGUUGUGGUGAGGGUAGUGGGUAAAGAAGCGCCGGCUAACUACGUGCCAGCAGCCGCGGUAAUACGUAGGGCGCGAGCGUUGUCCGGAAUUAUUGGGCGUAAAGGGCUUGUAGGCGGUUGGUCGCGUCUGCCGUGAAAUCCUCUGGCUUAACUGGGGGCGUGCGGUGGGUACGGGCUGACUUGAGUGCGGUAGGGGAGACUGGAACUCCUGGUGUAGCGGUGGAAUGCGCAGAUAUCAGGAAGAACACCGGUGGCGAAGGCGGGUCUCUGGGCCGUUACUGACGCUGAGGAGCGAAAGCGUGGGGAGCGAACAGG
rnacentral:rRNA from 1 species